GUGCUCACUUCAGCAGCACACAUACUAAAAUUGGAAUGAUACAGAAAAGAUUAGCAUGGCCCCUGUGCAAGGAUGACACGCAAAUUUGUGAAGCGUUCCAUAUUUUU
ensembl:snRNA U6 U6 spliceosomal RNA